AGAGUUUGAUCAUGGCUCAGGAUGAACGCUAGCGGCAGGCCUAAUACAUGCAAGUCGAACGGAUGUAGCAAUACAUUAGUGGCGCACGGGUGCGUAACGCGUAUGCAACCUACCCAUCAAUGGGGGAUAGCCCGGGGAAACCCGGAUUAAUACCGCAUAAGAUAGCAGUUUGGCAUCAAACAGCUAUUAAACAUUUAUGGUUGAUGGAUGGGCAUGCGUAAGAUUAGCUAGUUGGUGAGGUAAAGGCUCACCAAGGCAAUGAUCUUUAGGGGUUCUGAGAGGAAGAUCCCCCACACUGGUACUGAGACAGGGACCAGACUCCUACGGGAGGCAGCAGUAGGGAAUAUUGGGCAAUGGUGGCAACACUGACCCAGCCAUGCCGCGUGCAGGAAGAAGGCCUUCUGGGUUGUAAACUGCUUUUGGAAGGGAACAAAACGGCCUUGCGAGGCAACUUGAGUGUACCUUCAGAAUAAGCACCGGCUAACUCCGUGCCAGCAGCCGCGGUAAUACGGAGGGUGCAAGCGUUGUCCGGAUUUAUUGGGUUUAAAGGGUGCGUAGGCGGCCUGUUAAGUCAGGGGUGAAAGACUGCAGCUCAACUGUAGCAGUGCCUUUGAUACUGAUGGGCUUGAGUCUAGAUGAGGCCGGCGGAAUGGGUGGUGUAGCGGUGAAAUGCAUAGAUACCAUCCAGAACACCGAUUGCGAAGGCAGCCGGCUAAACUAGCACUGACGCUGAGGCACGAAGGCGUGGGGAUCGAACAGGAUUAGAUACCCUAGUAGUCC
rnacentral:rRNA from 1 species